GUGUGGCAGCCAGAUUUUUCGGGUAGUUCUUUAGCCACGGCAAUCUGCCCUUGCCCCAACCCCCUCCGGUAGCGGGCAGCUCGGAGGAAUCCGACCCGCAAGAGUCAAUAUUGACUGAGAGGCUCCCUAGGAGAAGCAGCCAGGGGAGCCGCUGGGAGCGCCUCCCACCCCCCGAUGUACCGUAAGAAGGAAUCUCCCCUUCUCUCCCUGACCAUCCCCUCCUUGGCCCUUCCAACAGACUGCCAGGACUCCAGGAAAAUCCUCCAACGAACUUGACUAAACCUCGGGAGAAGGAGUGCCAGCGCCGUCCCACCCGGAUUUCUUCCCAGACUCUGCCACCUUCACCCCCUGCCCCGGACUCCCAAGCUGCCCGCCUUCCCUCCUCGCUCCUCUCCAGAAGAGGCUAACUGAAAGGAAGCCAUACUUACCUGGGACGCCUCUGCCUCCGGGACGGCAGCGGAGAAAUCGGGGGCAGCCGCGGCCCCGGGCUAGGCGCAAAGGGUGGGCCGGCUUCUGCAUCAGCGUGACAUCACCUCCAUUCAGGGCCCUUAUCGAGCACUCCGCAGCGCUCCCAGGCACUUUCCCAGAAGUGAGGGGCUUUGGAGGGCGUUUACAAGACACACUCUUCAGGAACCAUAGAAAACUAGAGGAAAGGGGAAACGAAAUCAAGAGCCAGCCUUCAAUUCCACCCUCUUGGACAUGUAAACAAGGGGAGAUUUUUCCGGCUGCCUUCCCCCAUGGAGCUUUGGGGCCCGGCCAGGGAAAGGUGUAGGACACGCAGCCAGUGACGGCGCAAGGAGACCUUGUUAAUAAGGAAUGAACGACCCAGAGGAGCCCAACUGGUGCUGAGAGGGGAGAUGGUGCCGGGACCCAUGGGGACAAAAAGGGAACUGGGAGCGGGGAGAGGUCUCUGGGGCGCCAGUUCUCCAGACUCCUGGUUACCCCGGGAAUCGCCAGCAAAGCGCGCUAGGAGCCAAAGGGCUGGUGGGGCGUGUUUGCUCAACUCUGACCGCAGGCAUAGGGGGAGGGGAGAAAGCAGCUGGUAGCGGGCUGGGGCGGGGAGGGGGGGGGGGACACCAGGAGGGGAGGAGAAUGAAGCUGGGGUAAGGAGGUGGAGGAGGGGACGGGGAAGGAGAAGGGUAAGGGGAUAGUGUGGCAGCUUGUUUGUUUGCUUGCCCCUAUCUAUGACAACCAGGAGUCAAAACUCAAAUGAAUCACUCGGGUUGCCGGAGCGAUAAACCUCAGCCCGGCCUCUUCUUUGCACAACCACGUAAGAACUGCUUUGCUGUCUCCUGGAGAGAGGGAAUGUUUGCUCAGCGGCCAGAGCCGGGAAUAAGGGGCCCAGCCUCCCCAAACCCUAUAUUGCCCCCAAAUUGAAUCCUAAAGCAAAGAUGGGAAAAAGAAGUUUAGGGGUUUCGGUGGACACUGAAUCGUUUUGAAGUUCUUUCUAAUCUCCUGGGGGGCGAGGGGAUGGAGAGGAAUCGUUUCUUUUGCAAAGUGUACUUUAGUCUCUCUAUCACAUUUGCCCACAAACUGGGGUUCAUUAUAUAUGCAUGCAAGUAUGCACUUUUCUAAACACCCCCAGGAACAGCUGCGUGUAUGCAAAAGCAGGCCAUACCUACUUACCAAUGGAAGAACAGGUAGCAGCUUUAAAAAUAAUUUGCCCAGUCGAAACAACCCUGAGAUUUGACGUCACAUCCAGUAAAUUGGCAAAGAUGUCAAAAGAUGAAACUGUUUGGAGGGAUUGUGGGAAGAUAGGCACAGUAGUGCAUUGUUGGAGCAGUGCAUCAAUAAACCUUUUUUGGAAGGCAAUUUGAAAUUAUUCAAAUAAAAUGUGUAAAAUGUCAAUACCCUUUAACUCAGAGAUUCUACUACUGGCAUUUAUCCAUACCUCAUAGAGGUCGUUGAAAAGAAAAAAAUCCCAAAUAUUUUUGCUUUUUUUUUUUUUUUUUUUUUUUUAUGGUAGCAAAAAACUGGUAACAAAGUAGAAGUACAUGGUUUGGGGGAAUGGCCAAACAAACUUGUGUUUACAGGAAUGUAAUGGAAUAUUAUUGUACUUUAAGGAAGCAAAGAAUUGGAAGGCUGAGAAGCUUGGAGAGUGUUCACAAGCCUUCUGACCUGAUGAAAUGUGAAGUAAGCAGAGCCAAGCAAACAGUAUGCACAAUAACUACAACAAUGUAAAUGGAAAGAACCAACAGAAAACAAAUGAAAAUGAUUGUUGAAAAAUUACUAAGAACAAAUAUGAACUCCAAGGAACUAUGAGAAGAAUUCUUCAUUACUUUCUUUACAUUACACAUUCUUCAUUACUUUGCAGAAGUAGGAGACUCAUAGGUUUGGAACAUUGUAUAUAUUUUUAGACGUUUUGAUGUAUUGAUUGGUUCCCUCUGCUUCCUUAAAAAAAUAAAUAAAUAAAACUUUGUUAAAGAAUUGUUCUUUGAGAAGGGAAAAGGGAGGGAUACUAGAAAUUUAGGUGUUAUAUAGCACAAAGCAUCAAUAAAAUUUAUUUUAAAAAGUAAAUUAUCAGGGGAAAAAACUAAUUGUGCACUCUGGUCAUAGGAUUUAGACCCAAAAAGAACUUUGAAGGUAAUCUAAUCCAACUUCCUUUGAUAGAUGGAAGGCCAGAGAGGGAAGUAAGUGGCACUAUUGAGAAGUAAGGAACAGAGAUUAUAAAGAAGGGAAAGGGACCUGUAUGUGCACGAAUGUUUGUGGCAGCCCUUUUUGUAGUGGCUAGAAACUG